GGGGGUGUAGCGCAGUGGUAGCGCGUCCGCUUUGCAUGCGGAAGGCCCCGGGUUCAAUCCCCGGCGUCUCCA